CAGAUUAAAAAAAAAUUAUUUUGGAUAUAAUUAAUUAAUUAUCUGA
rnacentral:tRNA from 1 species